CAAUAGCGUAUAUUAAAGUUGUUGCAGUUAAAAAGCUCGUAGUUGGAUUUCUGGUGGGAGCGAUCGGUCUGGCGCUUAGCGCGAGUACUUGCAUCGUCUCCGGCCAUCCUUGGGGAGAGUCUGUCUGGCAUUAAGUUGUCGGGCAGAGGAUCCUCAUCGUUUACUGUGAAAAAAUUAGAGUGUUCAAAGCAGGCUUAUGCCGUUGAAUAUAUUAGCAUGGAAUAAUAAGAUAGGACUUUGGUACUAUUUUGUUGGUUUGCGCACCAAAGUAAUGAUUAAUAGGGACAGUUGGGGGUAUUCGUAUUCCGUUGUCAGAGGUGAAAUUCUUGGAUUUACGGAAGACGAACUACUGCGAAAGCAUUUACCAAGGAUGUUUUCAUUAA
rnacentral:rRNA from 1 species